rnacentral:rRNA from 1 species
AACGCGAAGAACCUUACCUGGUCUUGACAUCCACGGAAGUUUUCAGAGACGAGAAUGUGCCUUCGGGAACCGUGAGACAGGUGCUGCAUGGCUGUCGUCAGCUCGUGUUGUGAAAUGUUGGGUUAAGUCCCGCAACGAGCGCAACCCUUAUCCUUUGUUGCCAGCGGUCCGGCCGGGAACUCAAAGGAGACUGCCAGUGAUAAACUGGAGGAAGGUGGGGAUGACGUCAAGUCAUCAUGGCCCUUACGACCAGGGCUACACACGUGCUACAAUGGCGCAUACAAAGAGAAGCGACCUCGCGAGAGCAAGCGGACCUCAUAAAGUGCGUCGUAGUCCGGAUUGGAGUCUGCAACUCGACUCCAUGAAGUCGGAAUCGCUAGUAAUCGUGGAUCAGAAUGCCACGGUGAAUACGUUCCCGGGUCUUGUACACACCG